rnacentral:rRNA from 1 species
UACGUAGGGUGCAAGCGUUGUCCGGAAUUAUUGGGCGUAAAGAGCUCGUAGGCGGUUUGUUGCGUCGGCUGUGAAAACCCGGAGCUCAACUCCGGGCCUGCAGUCGAUACGGGCAGACUGGAGUUCGGCAGGGGAGACUGGAAUUCCUGGUGUAGCGGUGAAAUGCGCAGAUAUCAGGAGGAACACCGGUGGCGAAGGCGAGUCUCUGGGCCGAUACUGACGCUGAGGAGCGAAAGCGUGGGGAGCGAACAGG